rnacentral:rRNA from 1 species
CCUACGGGAGGCUGCAGUGAGGAAUAUUGGUCAAUGGACGAGAGUCUGAACCAGCCAAGUAGCGUGAAGGAUGACUGCCCUAUGGGUUGUAAACUUCUUUUAUAUGGGAAUAAAAUGUUCCACGUGUGGGAUUUUGUAUGUACCAUAUGAAUAAGGAUCGGCUAACUCCGUGCCAGCAGCCGCGGUAAUACGGAGGAUCCGAGUGUUAUCCGGAUUUAUUGGGUUUAAAGGGAGCGUAGGUGGAUUGUUAAGUCAGUUGUGAAAGUUUGCGGCUCAACCGUAAAAGUGCAGUUGAAACUGGCAGUCUUGAGUACAGGAGAGGUGGGCGGAAUUCGUGGUGUAGCGGUGAAAUGCUUAGAUAUCACGAAGAACUCCGAUUGCGAAGGCAGUUCACUGGACUGCAACUGACACUGAGGCUCGAAAGUGUGGGUAUCAAACAGGAUUAGAUACCCUGGUAGUC